rnacentral:lncRNA from 12 species
UCCUUUGUAGCCGUUAGAUCCAGGGACAAUUUGGUACAUAUGUUUCUAAUUGACUCACACUUAGCUCAUCCAAGUCUAGUUUUAUGGAGGAAAUGUGAUGUCCAAGAAGCUGCUGGGAGGCACUUUUCUUGGAAAAAGGAAGUCAUGUUCUUUUAUUUUAUAGUUUACAAACUGACUUCUAAAGAUUGGCAUUUAUUUCUAAUGUAUGAAAUCACAAAGUUCAAGUACAUUCUAAAUUUGGCAGGACACUCUUCCAUUUCUGAUUAGGAUGAUGUCACAGUAUGAAGCUGUAGGGCAAAGAAACUACAAUACCACUGGACCGAAGAGACAGACACUGCAUUUCCAGGAUUCCUUUCUCUUGAAACUCCCUUCAACUGAGGCCAAAUCACUUGUGCACAGACACGGUCAACCCACAAUGUCAUAUUUUCCGGCAACUCCCAGAUUUCUCUCUUUUACCCGUUUCCAAAUGAGUGACACACAUCACACAAGGCCUGCGCUUGCUCAGCAUUUCCGCCUGAGUUGACAUAGUGUGGUGAGGAUUGAUGCCGAGAAAAGAUUUCUCCUUUUCUACAAGAAAGUGGAGCUGUGACCUCAGUUUGUUCCCAGGCGGGAAGGGGGACAAGACCAUCUUUGUUUUCCCUCCUUCUCUGGGGGUCAGUGGCUUUAGAGAGGCCUCAUUAGCCCCUAUUCUGGUCCCCAGAGCUGUGACUGCUGAAGUGAAUACGGAAGGAACAUGCAUUAUUGCUGUUGUCUGGGGAGUUAAAACCAACCGAAAAAAAUGGCACUUAGAUUAGAAAAUGUGGAGAGAGGAGACAGGAAGACUCUUGAGAGAUGAAGGGCAGUCACUCCAGAGAUCCAGGGCCGCAGUGAAAGCGACUCCAUGUGGCCGGCACAGAUUUGGAAAGAAAAAAAAAAGGAAAAAAAAAAAAAGUCUUUUAUCCAGGAAGAUGGUCUUGUUCUUUCCAGUUACUUCUGUGUUACACCAGCAAGGCUCAUAACUGCCUUGUAUGCCUUAUACGGUCUUGCUUUAGCCCCUCUGCGAUCUCCUUUGCAUGGAUCUGCAACCAGGUGGUCAGCUGGCCCGAGCAAGUGGCUCUGGGGCCCUUAGACUCAGGCACCAAAGCCACCAAAGCCUCAGCUCCCCAUGCUCCACGGCAGCCACUCUCUCACUGACUUGGCCUUGGGUCCUGGAUUCAUAGGAGAAGGCAUUCAAUGACCCUUGACAAAGAGAACCCAUUGAACCAAAGCUCCAGGGGUGUUGGGACAUUUGAUUUGAGGUAAGCAGCCACUCUGCGGAGUUAGGGUUCUCAUGUGAAGCUUUUCCAAAAUCCAAGGAGCAGCCAAGGAUCCUUUGAAAAGCAAAAUGGAAUUCCUGGGGCAAACAAAGAGAUGAACGCAGACAGCACUCAUUCACCUUGUUCUCUGAAGAAACAUCUGAACUGCCUGGCCUCUCUGUGGCUCCCCAGUUCACGGUUUCUCAGGAUAUGGGAUAUGCUGGAAGCAGAAAGGAGAUGUCUAUAAAU